UUUUAUUUGAGAGUUUGAUCCUGGCUCAGGAUGAACGCUGGCGGCGUGCCUAACACAUGCAAGUUGAGCGAUUUACUUCGGUAAAGAGCGGCGGACGGGUGAGUAACGCGUGGGUAACCUACCCUGUACACACGGAUAACAUACCGAAAGGUAUGCUAAUACGGGAUAAUAUAUUUGAGAGGCAUCUCUUGAAUAUCAAAGGUGAGCCAGUACAGGAUGGACCCGCGUCUGAUUAGCUAGUUGGUAAGGUAACGGCUUACCAAGGCGACGAUCAGUAGCCGACCUGAGAGGGUGAUCGGCCACAUUGGAACUGAGACACGGUCCAAACUCCUACGGGAGGCAGCAGUGGGGAAUAUUGCACAAUGGGCGAAAGCCUGAUGCAGCAACGCCGCGUGAGUGAUGAAGGCCUUCGGGUCGUAAAACUCUGUCCUCAAGGAAGAUAAUGACGGUACUUGAGGAGGAAGCCCCGGCUAACUACGUGCCAGCAGCCGCGGUAAUACGUAGGGGGCUAGCGUUAUCCG
rnacentral:rRNA from 1 species